GAUGAACGCUGGCGGCGUGCCUAAUACAUGCAAGUCGAGCGAACAGACGAGGAGCUUGCUCCUCUGACGCUAGCGGCGGACGGGUGAGUAACACGUGGAUAACCUACCUAUAAGACUGGGAUAACUUCGGGAAACCGGAGCUAAUACCGGAUAAUAUAUUGAACCGCAUGGUUCAAUAGUGAAAGACGGUUUUGCUGUCGCUUAUAGAUGGAUCCGCGCCGCAUUAGCUAGUUGGUAAGGUAACGGCUUACCAAGGCGACGAUGCGUAGCCGACCUGAGAGGGUGAUCGGCCACACUGGAACUGAGACACGGUCCAGACUCCUACGGGAGGCAGCAGUAGGGAAUCUUCCGCAAUGGGCGAAAGCCUGACGGAGCAACGCCGCGUGAGUGAUGAAGGUCUUCGGAUCGUAAAACUCUGUUAUUAGGGAAGAACAAAUGUGUAAGUAACUAUGCACGUCUUGACGGUACCUAAUCAGAAAGCCACGGCUAACUACGUG
rnacentral:rRNA from 1 species